rnacentral:lncRNA from 1 species
CUCCCAUCUCUGGCCCCGCGACCCGCCGAACGCCGACCGAAGGACUGCGAGGGCGUCGGGGCAGCGCACAACCCGAACACCCGGCAAUCGUGCUUGCCUCGCCCAGCCCAAUCGUCACGAGCAUCCAUGGCGGCGCCUGAAUCCGGCAGCCACGGCCGCAAACAGCACACGCCGGCAGGCGGCACACUUCACGCCUCCACAGCUCCUCCCCUAUUGCGCCGGCGAGUAGCACCGACCGUAGCAUCACUACAUCAACAUACGGUACUCUGCAGGCAGCAGCACCGUGAGUACUUCAACUUCUCUGAAUUUCUGAUUUUCUCCAAUUAAAGAACGGAGAUAAGAUUGAUCAGUGUGAAUUGCUAUUUUGCAAGUGUGAAAAUUUGUUGAUUUGUAGGUUCCAAAAAUAAAGAACAAGUCUGGUGAUUGAAAUGUUUGUGCACCCAUUCCUCAUUCCUUUUGCUUACAAAAGAAAUAUCAUGGAGUUAAACUGUAAGUUUCCAUGUUCCUUCAAUGUAACUAAAUUAUUAGAUGUUGCCACUUAUUAAGAAUAAUUUGUAGGUUCGUCGUCAUUAUUGUGAAUUUUCAUGUCUUAUAUUUGUAGCUUCUGCAGGUGUUAUGUCAAGGUAUCACCAUGGCGAGAUCCCCUUUGCUGCUAACCAGGAACUUGAGAAUUGUUUCGAUGCUGAAAACUAUAAGUGAGAGCACUCUGAAGUUUGAUGUGCACUUGACGCUGGAUCAUUGGACUUCCCCUGUUGAGUUCGAAUUUGAUUCUGCUAAUUCUGAUGUAGCGCCAGCAUGUAACAACAUCUAUGCUGAUGUUCGCAAAUUUCCUUCUUGGAUUAUCUUCUGUGUAAGUUCCUGCAAAUUGGUAUAGGUGCAGUGCACUGGCUCAUGGUCUUGCUGCCCAGGCGCAUCAGAUUUGGUAAUCUAUGGAUGGGGAAUGUCCCUCCAUUGUUGAAUUGGCUUGUAAUGACUAUGUAACUCUGAUUCCGUAUGACCAUUCAAAAAAAGAAAAAGGAAACUGAUCUGUGCCCACUUCUGUUGACGGAAUGUUUCUGUUGUAUGCUAAAAC